GGCUGAGAUGGUAAAGCAUCUGCCUGCAAUGCGGGAGACCCGGGUUCGAUUCCUGG
rnacentral:tRNA from 1 species